rnacentral:rRNA from 1 species
UACGGAGGGGGCUAGCGUUGUUCGGAAUUACUGGGCGUAAAGCGCACGUAGGCGGCUUUGUAAGUUAGAGGUGAAAGCCCGGGGCUCAACUCCGGAAUUGCCUUUAAGACUGCAUCGCUAGAAUUGUGGAGAGGUAAGUGGAAUUCCGAGUGUAGAGGUGAAAUUCGUAGAUAUUCGGAAGAACACCAGUGGCGAAGGCGACUUACUGGACACAUAUUGACGCUCAGGCGCGAUAGCGUGGGGAUCAAACAGG